rnacentral:ribozyme from 1 species
AUAGGACCCCGCCGAAAUACACGCAUAAGGAAGGAAGGAAACACAUAGGAAAAGAGAAGAUAAGGACAGAAGGGAGCUUUGGUUCCAAAAUAUUAUAUAUCCUACUUUU